rnacentral:rRNA from 1 species
GACGAACGCUGGCGGCGUGCUUAACACAUGCAAGUCGAACGAUGAAGUUCCUUCGGGAAUGGAUUAGUGGCGAACGGGUGAGAAACACGUGAGAAACCUGCCUUUCAUUUUGGGAUAACUCCGGGAAACCGGAGCUAACACCGAAUACUCCGUCUCGGCGGCAUCGCUGAGCCGGGAAAAAAUUAUGAUGAAAGAUGGUCUCGCGGCCUAUCAGCUAGUUGGUGGGGUAAUGGCUCACCAAGGCGAGGACGGGUAGCCGGCCUGAGAGGGCGGCCGGCCACACGGGGACUGAGCGACGGCCACGACUCCUACGGGAGGCAGCAGUGGGGAAUAUUGGGCAAUGGGCGCAAGCCUGACCCAGCGACGCCGCGUGAGGGAUGAAGGCCUUCGGGUUGUAAACCUCUUUCAGUAGGGAAGAAGCGAAAGUGACGGUACCUAAAGAAGAAGCACCGGCUAACUAUGUGCCAGCAGCCGCGGUAA